rnacentral:rRNA from 1 species
AGUGAACGCUGGCGGUAGGCCUAACACAUGCAAGUCGAACGGCAGCACAGUAAGAGCUUGCUCUUACGGGUGGCGAGUGGCGGACGGGUGAGGAAUACCUCGGAAUCUACUUUUUCGUGGGGGAUAACGUAGGGAAACUUACGCUAAUACCGCAUACGACCUACGGGUGAAAGCAGGGGAUCUUCGCACCUUGCGCGAUUGAAUGAGCCGAGGUCGGAUUAGCUAGUUGGCGGGGUAAAGGCCCACCAAGGCGACGAUCCGUAGCUGGUCUGAGAGGAUGAUCAGCCACACUGGAAGUGAGACACGGUCCAGACUCCUACGGGAGGCAGCAGUGGGGAAUAUUGGACAAUGGGCGAAAGCCUGAUCCAGCCAUACCGCGUGAGUGAAGAAGGCCUUCGGGUUGUAAAGCCCUUUUGUUGGGAAAGAAAAGCAGCAGGUUAAUACCCCGAUGUUCUGACGGUACCCAAAGAAUAAGCCCCGGCUAACUUCGUG